rnacentral:lncRNA from 1 species
AUGGCCAUAUGGUGGAAAGUUAGUGACCGAAGCACUAUCUCUUUUGGAGAAAUACCGGACGGUGACGAUAUUCCUCGCUUUAAAAGAUCGAAAAGAUCAUCAUCAUCACCAAAGCUGAAGAAUAUCAAUAUUGAUGAUCUCCCAGACCUUGUGUUGGUUGAUAUUUUAUGUCGCCUUCCUCAUAAUAAAUUUGCUUUUCGAUGCAAGUGUGUGUCCAAGCGCUGGUGCGCUAUCAUCUCCGAUUCUCUCUUUAUUCGCCACUUUAAAGUGAGAAGUAUAUGCCAAUCGUACGUACCCUGAUAAACUACAACAUUAAGAUGGGGUUGAAGGAGCGGUCCAAGUUUACUGAUCCAGUGGCGGAGAGAUCACUCCAGUCUUUGAGGAGUUUCCUCCCUACCUUGUCCUCCAAGUUAACUGAUUUGGUUAUUGACAGACCAUCCGAGGAUAAACUACCAGUCUUUGGCCACGAAGAUCUAAAAGCAGUUGUAUUAGAGACGUAUAAUGACUUAGUUUUGUGUUGUGCAUGCAAGUAUUAUCAACGCGAUUACUGCAUUUGCAAUCUCUACACCCAGAAAUGGGUGGCUCAUCCUCCCUCGCCUCAAUGCCACAAAAGAGUAGUGGCACUAGGGUUCAUCUGUGAUCCUCCCUACUAUAGCUACUAUGGGGAAGAAGCUGAGUUUCAUAGAAAAGAAGCAACCCAGCAGCGUAAUGCUGCCGAGUAUAUAUAUAGACAUAGGGUUGUAAGAAUUCCUGAAUUUUCACAUUGUCAGGACCAUACCUUCAAAUACUACGUGGAGAUCUUCUCUUCCGAGACUGGUGAAUGGAGAGUGUCGUAUGUUUCAUUCCCCAAAAAAUUUGCAUUCCAUAGAGUCAAUCCCAGUACUGGCUUUGCGUACAAGGGAAUGUUGUUUUGGUUGGGCCGUCAUAGAAACAAAGGUGGUCUUGCCUUUCUUAUUGGGUUCGAUCCGUUCGACACGAAGAAUAAUAAUCACGAAACAAUUGAUAAGAAAUGUUUCAUUGAAUUUGAUGAGCAGCCGGCAAUUGAGGGCCUAGAUGGAGAUGUGUCGGAAAUUGAGUGCCUAGGUGUGUGCCAAGGCUGUCUGCGGAUGUUCAACUUCGAAUUGAGGACAGGUUCUCUGUUAGUUUGGGAUUUCAAAUUACCAGAACCAGCUGAUGAUCAGAUGCUCAAUGGAGGCAGCAACUGUUUGAUUUUGAAACACAGGGUUCCCAUGGAUCCAAGAGAUAAAUUAUACAUGGACCGGAUUAAGCUGUGUGUUUUGGACCCAAAUAAUAAGGAUAUUUUGUAUUUCUAUCGAAGUACACAUAUAUUUGUCAUGUGCAACAUCCGUACAAAAACGUGGUCAGAGAUAGCAAAAGAAACUUGGGAACGAAGUGAUGCUCCCUUGUUACCAUUGAUUUUGCACCCUCCGUGGCCAACCCCAGUUCCUACACACUUCCCCGUGAGAAGAGUGCCACAACGAGUUGGAACUUGUUCAACAAGACAUGGUCAAUGUAAAUGUAAUUGA